AUGGAGGCCACCCUCAAGCGCAAGGCCGCGGAAGCCCCCGCCGACGGGCCCGACCCCCCGCUCAAGGCGCCGCGCGCGGACGCCGCCGAGCGCGUCGCCUGCCUGCACGACGUCUCCUACCCCGAGGGCUACGACGCGUCCGCCUCCGGCCCGCGCGUCGUCGCCGGCGGCGGCGAGGGCGCCGCCCCGGCCAAGACGUUCCCCUUCCCGCUCGACCCCUUCCAGUCCGAGGCCAUCCGCUGCCUCGACAACGGCGAGUCCGUCAUGGUUUCGGCGCACACGUCGGCGGGGAAGACGGUGGUGGCGCUGUACGCGAUAGCCAUGUCCCUGCGCAACCAGCAGCGGGUCAUCUACACGUCGCCCAUCAAGGCCCUCAGCAACCAGAAGUACAGGGAGUUCAAGGAGGAGUUCUCCGACGUCGGCCUCAUGACCGGGGACGUCACCAUCGAGCCAAACGCAUCUUGCUUGGUCAUGACCACGGAGAUUUGGCGCAGCAUGCAGUACAAGGGGUCCGAGGUGAUGAGGGAAGUCGCCUGGGUUAUCUUCGAUGAGGUGCAUUACAUGCGUGACAGGGAGAGGGGAGUGGUGUGGGAGGAGAGUAUUGUGAUGGCCCCCAAAAACUCGCGGUUCGUGUUCCUCUCGGCAACUGUACCUAAUGCCAAGGAAUUUGCUGAUUGGGUUGCCAAGGUACAUAAGCAACCUUGUCAUAUAGUAUACACCGACUACCGACCUACACCUCUCCAGCACUAUGUAUUUCCUGCUGGAGGUGAUGGCUUAUACCUGGUCGUUGAUGAAAAUGGCAAGUUCAGAGAGGACAGCUUUCAGAAAUCUCUGAAUGUCCUUGCCCCUGCUACUGGCAGUGACAAGAAGAGGGAAAACGGGAAGCGGCAAAAGGGCCUUGUCUCGGCAGGCAAAACUAAUGAAGAAAGCGACAUAUUCAAGAUGGUGAAAAUGAUAAUUCAGCGUCAAUAUGACCCUGUAAUACUUUUCAGCUUUAGCAAAAGGGAGUGUGAAUUUCUUGCCAUGCAGAUGGCCAAGAUGGACUUGAAUGGGGAUGAUGAGAAAGUGAACAUUGAAACCAUUUUUUGGAGUGCCAUGGAUUUGCUUUCAGAUGAUGAUAAAAAGCUUCCCCAGGUUUCAAAUAUGCUUCCUUUAUUGAAACGUGGCAUUGGAGUACAUCAUUCUGGCCUGCUGCCCAUUUUAAAGGAAGUGAUUGAGAUACUUUUCCAAGAGGGCCUCAUCAAGUGUCUGUUUGCCACAGAGACAUUCAGUAUUGGAUUGAACAUGCCUGCAAAGACUGUUGUGUUUACCAAUGUACGUAAGUUUGACGGAGAUCGAUUCAGAUGGUUAUCAAGUGGAGAGUACAUCCAGAUGAGCGGCCGUGCUGGUCGUCGAGGUAUUGAUCAGCGUGGUAUCUGCAUAUUGAUGGUAGAUGAGAAAAUGGAACCCUCAACUGCCAAAAUGAUGCUGAAAGGAGGUGCUGAUAGUUUGAACAGUGCCUUUCAUUUGAGCUACAACAUGUUGUUGAAUCAACUGCGCUCUGAGGAUGGUGAUCCAGAAAAGCUUCUUCGGCAUUCAUUCUACCAAUUUCAAGCAGAUAGAGCUCUCCCUGAUCUCGAGAAGCAAGUCAGGGAACUGGAAAUAGAAAGAAGUUCCAUGGUUAUUGAAGACGAGGAGAGCGUGAAGGACUACUAUGAUCUCUUACAGCAGUACAGAACUUUAAAGAAGGAUGUCCGUGAUAUUGUACUUUCGCCAAAAUAUGUUCUGCCUUUCUUGCAAUCUGGAAGGCUUGUUCGUGUUCAAUACAGUACAGAUGAGUCCACCUUCUCCAUUGACGAAAAUGUGUCGUGGGGAAUUAUAAUAAAUUUUGAAAAGGUGAAAACCAAUGCUGAAGAAAGAAGGCCCGAGGAUUGUGAUUACACUGUUGAUGUCCUCACAAGAUGUUCUGUAAUCAAGGACAUAAGUGGAAAGAAGACAAUGAAGGUUAUUCCUCUCAAAUCCCGUGGAGAACCAGUUGUUAUUUCGUUGCCACUUUCUCAGAUUGAUGGACUAAGUAGCGUUCGGAUGUACAUACCCAAGGAUCUUUUGCCUGUAGAAGCUCGAGAAAACACAUUGAGGAAAGUUGACGAAGUGCUUUCAAGGUUUGCUAAAGAUGGGGUUCCUCUCUUGGAUCCAGAAGAAGAUAUGGAAGUAAAAUCUAGCUCCUACCGGAAAGCUGCCAGAAGAAUAGAAGCUCUUGAGAGCUUAUUUGAGAAGCAUGACAUCCGUAAUGCUCCCCAUAUCCAACAGAAGCUGAAGCUCUUGCAUGCUAAGCAAGAAAUAAAAGCCAAAAUAAAGUCCAUAAAGAAAACAAUGCGGGCCUCGACUGCUCUAGCCUUUAAGGACGAGCUCAAGGCACGAAAACGAGUUCUUCGUAGGCUGGGAUAUAUCACCAGUGAGGAUGUAGUUGAAAUAAAGGGCAAAGUGGCAUGUGAGAUCAGCUCAGCCGACGAACUGACAUUGACCGAGCUUAUGUUCAGUGGCACUUUGAAAGAUGCUACUGUGGAGCAGAUGGUGGCUCUGCUCUCUUGCUUUGUCUGGCAGGAGAAGCUUCAGGAUGCCCCAAAGCCAAGGGAGGAGCUCGACCUGCUCUUCUACCAGUUGCAAGAGACGGCACGACGGGUCGCGAACCUCCAGCUUGAAUGCAAGAUCCAGAUCGAUGUUGAGAGUUUUGUGAACUCCUUCCGCCCCGACGUGAUGGAGGCCGUGUACUCGUGGGCCAGAGGGUCCAAGUUCCACCAGAUCAUGGAGAUGACACAGGUGUUCGAGGGCAGCCUGAUCAGGGCCAUCAGGCGGCUGGAGGAGGUCCUGCAGCAGCUGAUCCUGGCAUCCCAGUCGAUCGGUGAGACCCAGCUCGAAGCCAAGCUCGAGGAGGCGGUCAGCAAGAUUAAGAGGGACAUCGUGUUCGCCGCGUCCCUGUACUUGUGA
rnacentral:rRNA from 1 species